AAAAAGAUUUUUAAUUUUUUUUUACUCGGUGGAAAACUAAUUCCAUUUAAGCGUGUAAUGUUUUGUUUGCGGCUAGGGAAAAAUAAAAAAAAUCGAACAGUCAAAGUGCAGGACUCUUCGUUGCUUCCUGCUCUUUUAAAUUCUGCUAGUGGUUGACUAAUGGAUCAUUGGCUGCUGUGCCUUGUAAUGGUGAACUAUGAAGCUCACUGGAAACUACUGUUUGCCAUUAAUCAUCAACGUUUUCCAUUACAGAACAGCCGUUAUACCCACCGCUGAUGAGGGCGCAUCUCCACGGAAGUUCUAAAGCAUGGUUAAUUGGAAAGGAUGCCGAAAGACAGCGGCCACAAUCAGCGCCGUCAUAUACGAACAUCACCACUCUUCACCAGCAGCAACACUUAUGCUACGUUUUGACAAGGCAAGUGAAUUAAGCAAGUCGCUUAAAUCGAACGCGAAUUGAACGUGUAAACACC